rnacentral:rRNA from 1 species
UACGUAGGGUGCGAGCGUUGUCCGGAAUUAUUGGGCGUAAAGAGCUCGUAGGCGGUGUGUCGCGUCGGCCGUGAAAACCUGGGGCUCAACUCUGGGCGUGCGGUCGAUACGGGCAUCACUUGAGUUCGGCAGGGGAGACUGGAAUUCCUGGUGUAGCGGUGAAAUGCGCAGAUAUCAGGAGGAACACCGGUGGCGAAGGCGGGUCUCUGGGCCGAUACUGACGCUGAGGCACGAAAGCCAGGGGAGCGAACGGG